UCUGGGAGGUUCCUAGUCAACAAGUGUCCACUUUCUGGGUGUGGAUGGAAUAAGAACACAGGGGGAUAGAUGGUGUCAAGGAUAUUUCACAACAGCCACUCAAGAGGCUUGUGAACUGAACCAGCCUCUUACUGGAGAUGCCAUUUCUGGACCAGUGUGCUCAUGUUUCCUGGAUCCAAUGACCCUCCUUCUGCACUUGGCAGCCAAUGAGAGUUGAAACUGGAGGAGAGCCCUUCUGUGCCUGUGAACCCAGCAGAAAUUUUAUAAGAAAAGCCAGUGGCUCCCAGACAAAGUUAAAAAGG